CUCCAGCUGAGACAGUGCUCUAGCGAUGGUCACAGGUAUAAGCUGUUAGCUAGAGCAAUUUCAGCAGUUGGGAGGUGAGCAUAUCAACCCACAAGGUUGUCUGAGAGGGACAACAACUUCUGCUGUUAGUUUACUUUUGGGUAUAAACGUGAACUUUGAGGAAAGAGUUAAAUUCAAUUAAAAACAAAUUCGUUGAGUGUCUACUAUGUGCAAAACAAUAUGUUGUGGCAAAAGGGGGACGCAAUGUGAAAGAUCUGUUGCCCUCGAGAAGAAACGACCCUGCAUAUCAGCAAGGUAUCUUUUCCUGAAGCCGGUCUUCAUUAACAGGCUUG
rnacentral:lncRNA from 1 species